GCGCGUAGGCGGCUCGUUAAGUGAGAAGUGAAAGCUGUGGGCUCAACCCACAAACCGCUUUUCAUACUGGCGAGCUGGAGUGAUGCAGAGGUGGAUAGAAUUCCCGGUGUAGCGGUGAAAUGCGUUGAUAUCGGGAGGAAUACCCGUGGCGAAGGCGGUCCACUGGGCAUCAACUGACGCUGAGGCGCGAAAGCGUGGGUAGCAAACAGGAUUAGAUACCCUGGUAGUCCACGCCCUAAACGAUGGAUGCUAGGCGUAGGAGGUAUCGACCCCUCCUGUGCCGCAGCUAACGCAUUAAGCAUCCCGCCUGGGGACUACGGCCGCAAGGUUGAAACUCAAAUGAAUUGACGGGGACCCGCACAAGCGGUGGAGCAUGUGGAUUAAUUCGAUACUAACCGAAGAACCUUACCCAGGUUUGACAUCGAGGGUAAGCCUAUGAAAGUAGGCCCUCUCCCACAAGGAGACCCAAAGACAGAUGUUGCAUGGCUGUCGUCAGCUCGUGCCGUGAGGUGUACGGUUAAGUCCGCCAACGAGCGCAACCCUCGUCCUGUGUU
rnacentral:rRNA from 1 species